CUCAAGGCGGGGGAGGGUCCCUCAGCCUGGAUUGCGCGAGGGCUCAGGCCAGGCUGAGGGACCCCACUGGUGCACG
rnacentral:pre_miRNA from 1 species